UCACUCAAAGAUGAUCCCGCGUUGUAUUAGCUAGUUGGUGAGGUAAAGGCUCACCAAGGCGAUGAUACAUAGCCGACCUGAGAGGGUGAUCGGCCACAUUGGGACUGAGACACGGCCCAAACUCCUACGGGAGGCAGCAGUAGGGAAUCUUCGGCAAUGGACGAAAGUCUGACCGAGCAACGCCGCGUGAGUGAAGAAGGUUUUCGGAUCGUAAAACUCUGUUGGUAGAGAAGAACGUUGGUGAGAGUGGAAAGCUCAUCAAGUGACGGUAACUACCCAGAAAGGGACGGCUAACUACGUGCCAGCAGCCGCGGUAAUACGUAGGUCCCGAGCGUUGUCCGGAUUUAUUGGGCGUAAAGCGAGCGCAGGUGGUUUAUUAAGUCUGGUGUAAAAGGCAGUGGCUCAACCAUUGUAUGCACUGGAAACUGGUAGACUUGAGUGCAGGAGAGGAGAGUGGAAUUCCAUGUGUAGCGGUGAAAUGCGUAGAUAU
rnacentral:rRNA from 1 species